GGAGGCAGAGGGGCUUCGCUAGCAGACGCAGAGGCGAGGCCGCCAGUCGAGGACGAGGAGGAGAUAACAUCAAGAUGCCAAAGACUGAGGAAACUGUGCUCCAGAAUGAUCCCAGUGUAGCAGAGAAUGGGGCCCCUGAGCCUAAAACACCAGGGCAGAGCCAGAAAAGCAAGAGUUUCUGUUUAGAUGACCAGUCUCCUGAGAGCAGACCUGAUGUCUUUUCUGUCACAGAUCUGAUAGAGACAGUUAAUGAAGUUUCCAAGCUGAGCAUUUCCCAUGAAAUUGUAGUAAACCAAGA